AUUGAACGCUGGCGGCAGGCCUAACACAUGCAAGUCGAGCGGAUGAAGGGAGCUUGCUCCUGGAUUCAGCGGCGGACGGGUGAGUAAUGCCUAGGAAUCUGCCUGGUAGUGGGGGAUAACGUCCGGAAACGGGCGCUAAUACCGCAUACGUCCUGAGGGAGAAAGUGGGGGAUCUUCGGACCUCACGCUAUCAGAUGAGCCUAGGUCGGAUUAGCUAGUUGGUGGGGUAAAGGCCUACCAAGGCGACGAUCCGUAGCUAGUCUGAGAGGAUGAUCAGUCACACUGGAACUGAGACACGGUCCAGACUCCUACGGGAGGCAGCAGUGGGGAAUAUUGGACAAUGGGCGAAAGCCUGAUCCAGCCAUGCCGCGUGUGUGAAGAAGGUCUUCGGAUUGUAAAGCACUUUAAGUUGGGAGGAAGGGCAGUAAGUUAAUACCUUGCUGUUUUGACGUUACCAACAGAAUAAGCACCGGCUAACUUCGUG
rnacentral:rRNA from 1 species